rnacentral:rRNA from 1 species
UACGUAGGGUGCAAGCGUAAUCGGAAUUACUGGGCGUAAAGCGUGCGCAGGCGGUUUUGUAAGUCUGUCGUGAAAUCCCCGGGCUCAACCUGGGAAUUGCGAUGGAGACUGCAAGGCUAGAAUCUGGCAGAGGGGGGUAGAAUUCCACGUGUAGCAGUGAAAUGCGUAGAGAUGUGGAGGAACACCGAUGGCGAAGGCAGCCCCCUGGGUCAAGAUUGACGCUC